GUGGGGGUACACGAGCGGCGAACGGGUGAGUAACACGUGGGUGACCUGCCCUCGUGCACUCUGGGAUAAGCCCGGGAAACUGGGUCUAAUACCGGAUAGGACCUCUGUGGGAUGCAUGUCUGGUGGUGGAAAGUUUUUUCGGUGGGGGAUGGGCCCGCGGUGGCCUAUCAGCUUGUUGGUGGGGUGAUGGCCUACCAAGGCGGUGACGGGUAGUGGCCGGCCUGAGAGGGCGACCGGCCACACUGGGACUGAGACACGGCCCAGAGUGCUCCUACGGGAGGCAGCAGUGGGGAAUAUUGCGCAAUGGGCGGAAGCCUGGUGACGCAGCGACGCCGCGUGGGGGAUGACGGCCUUCGGGUUGUAAACCUCUUGUGUCGCCAGGGACGAAGCUUUUGUGACGGUACCUGGAUAAGAAGCACCGGCCGUGAACUACGUGCCAGCAGCCGCGGUAACACGUAGGGUGCGAGCGUUGUCCGGGUGAAUUAUUGGGCGUAAAGAGCUCGUAGGCGGUGUGUCGCGUCGGCCGUGAAGUGAACUUGGGGCUUAACUCUGAGCGUGCGGUCGAUACGGGCAUCACUUGAGUGUGUCGGCAGGGGAGACUGGAAUUCCUGGUGUAGCGGUGAAAUGCGCAGAUAUGUGCAGGAGGAACACCGGUGGCGAAGGCGGGUCUCUGGGCCGAUACUGACGCUGUGGAGGAGCGAAAGCGUGGGGAGCGAACAGGAUUAGAUACCCUGGUAGUCCAGUGCGCCGUAAACGUUGGGCGCUAGGUGUGGGGGUG
rnacentral:rRNA from 1 species